GUCGGGACUUGUUCUCGGUGGCGCAGCUAACGCAUUAAGUAUCCCGCCUGGGGAGUACGAUCGCAAGGUUGAAACUCAAAGGAAUUGACGGGGGCCCGCACAAGCGGUGGAGCAUGUGGUUUAAUUCGAUGCAACGCGAAGAACCUUACCUGGGCUUGAACUGUUAAUGAUCGUGCCAGAGAUGGCAUUUUCCUUCGGGACAUUAUCAGAGGUGCUGCAUGGCUGUCGUCAGCUCGUGUCGUGAGAUGUUCGGUUAAGUCCGGCAACGAGCGCAACCCUUGUCUUUAGUUGCCAGCACGUUAUGGUGGGAACUCUAAAGAGACUGCCCGGGUUAACCGGGAGGAAGGUGGGGAUGACGUCAAGUCCUCAUGGCCCUUACGUCCAGGGCUACACACGUGCUACAAUGGUAGGUACAACGAGAAGCGAAGCGGCGACGUGAAGCAGAUCUCAAAAAACCUAUCUCAGUUCGGAUUGCAGGCUGCAACUCGCCUGCAUGAAGUUGGAAUCGCUAGUAAUCGCAGAUCAGCACGCUGCGGUGAAUACGUUCCCGGGCCUUGUACACACCGCCCGUCAAGCCACGGAAGUUGGUAGUACCCGAAGUAGGUGUCCUAACCUCGGAGGGAGCUUAUGAAGGUAAGACCGAUAACUGGGGCUAAGUCGUAACAAGGUAGCCG
rnacentral:rRNA from 1 species